AGGUAAGCAUAACACUGAAGAUGUUAAGAUGGACCUUGAAACGGUUCCGCAAGCA
rnacentral:tRNA from 1 species